rnacentral:rRNA from 1 species
GCGAACGGGUGAGUAACACGUGGGCAAUCUGCCCUUCACUCUGGGACAAGCCCUGGAAACGGGGUCUAAUACCGGAUACCACUACCGCAGGCAUCUGUGGUGGUUGAAAGCUCCGGCGGUGAAGGAUGAGCCCGCGGCCUAUCAGCUUGUUGGUGAGGUAAUGGCUCACCAAGGCGACGACGGGUAGCCGGCCUGAGAGGGCGACCGGCCACACUGGGACUGAGACACGGCCCAGACUCCUACGGGAGGCAGCAGUGGGGAAUAUUGCACAAUGGGCGAAAGCCUGAUGCAGCGACGCCGCGUGAGGGAUGACGGCCUUCGGGUUGUAAACCUCUUUCAGCAGGGAAGAAGCGAAAGUGACGGUACCUGCAGAAGAAGCGCCGGCUAACUACGUGCCAGCAGCCGCGGUAAUACGUAGGGCGCAAGCGUUGUCCGGAAUUAUUGGGCGUAAAGAGCUCGUAGGCGGCUUGUCACGUCGGGUGUGAAAGCCCGGGGCUUAACCCCGGGUCUGCAUUCGAUACGGGCUAGCUAGAGUGUGGUAGGGGAGAUCGGAAUUCCUGGUGUAGCGGUGAAAUGCGCAGAUAUCAGGAGGAACACCGGUGGCGAAGGCGGAUCUCUGGGCCAUUACUGACGCUGAGGAGCGAAAGCGUGGGGAGCGAACAGGAUUAGAUACCCUGGUAGUCCA